rnacentral:tRNA from 12 species
GCGGUCAUGGCGGAAUUGGUAGACGCGCAGCGUUGAGGUCGCUGUGGGGCAACCCGUGGAGGUUCGAGUCCUCUUGACCGCACCA